rnacentral:lncRNA from 1 species
GUUCUCAAAGACUGAGUUCAAGGAGCUCUACGUUUCAAAGUCAAGCUGGAGCUGGAGGUCUGGGAAGGUCCACAGCUGUGCUCUGAAAGAACCUUGUCUGAGUCUAAGAGAGCUCGUCACACAGUGCCUGGUAUGUGGAACAACUCAAUAAAGGAAGCCAAGUGGUUCUGAAAAGAAAG